rnacentral:rRNA from 1 species
UACGAACUGUGCGAACGUUAUUCGGAAUCACUGGGCUUAAAGGGUGCGUAGGCGGGUCUUUAAGUCAGGGGUGAAAUCCUGGAGCUCAACUCCAGAACUGCCUUUGAUACUGAGGAUCUUGAGUUCGGGAGAGGUGAGUGGAACUGCGAGUGUAGAGGUGAAAUUCGUAGAUAUUCGCAAGAACACCAGUGGCGAAGGCGGCUCACUGGCCCGAUACUGACGCUGAGGCACGAAAGCGUGGGGAGCAAACAGG